rnacentral:rRNA from 1 species
AAUGAACGUUGGCGGCAUGGAUUAGGCAUGCAAGUCGAGCGAGAAGUGUAGCAAUACACGGAAAGCGGCGGAAGGGAGAGUAAUACGUGGGAAUCUGCCCUUAGACCUGGGAUAGCAGCGGGAAACUGCUGGUAAUACCAGAUAAUGUCUAUGGACCAAAGGUGUGAUUCCGUCUAGGGAUGAGCCCAUGUGAUAUUAGCUAGUUGGUGGGGUAACGGCCCACCAAGGCGAAGAUGUCUAGCGGGUGUGAGGGCACGACCCGCGCCACUGGCACUGAGACACUGGCCAGACACCUACGGGUGGCUGCAGUCGAGGAUCUUCGGCAAUGGGCGCAAGCCUGACCGAGCGAGGCCGCGUGGGCGAUGAAGGCCUUCGGGUUGUAAAGCCCUGUCGAGGGGGAGAAAAGGCAACUUGAUCUAUCCCUGGAGGAAGCACGGGCUAAGUUCGUGCCAGCCGCCGCGGUAACAC